rnacentral:rRNA from 1 species
UACGGGGGGGGGUAAGCGUUGUUCGGAAUUACUGGGCGUAAAGGGCUCGUAGGCGGCCAACUAAGUCAUACGUGAAAUCCCUCAGCUUAACUGGGGAACUGCGUGUGAUACUGGAUGGCUUGGAUUUGGGAGAGGGAUGCGGAAUUCCAGGUGUAGCGGUGAAAUGCGUAGAUAUCUGGAGGAAUACCGGUGGCGAAGGCGGCAUCCUGGACCAUUACUGACGCUGAGGCGCGAAAGCUAGGGGAGCAAACGGG